GACGAACGCUGGCGGCGUGCUUAACACAUGCAAGUCGAACGGAAAGGCCCUGCUUGCAGGGUACUCGAGUGGCGAACGGGUGAGUAACACGUGGGUGAUCUGCCCUGCACUUCGGGAUAAGCUUUGGAAACUGGGUCUAAUACCGGAUAGGAGCCAUCUUUAGUGUGGUGGUUGGAAAGUUUUUUCGGUGUAGGAUGAGCUCGCGGCCUAUAAGCUUGUUGGUGGGGUAAUGGCCUACCAAGGCGGCGACGGGUAGCCGGCCUGAGAGGGUGUACGGCCACAUUGGGACUUAGAUACGGCCCAGACUGCUACGGGAGGCAGCAGUGGGGAAUAUUGCACAAUGGGCGCAAGCCUGAUGCAGCGACGCCGCGUGGGGGAUGAAGGCCUUCGGGUUGUAAACUCCUUUCGCUAGGGACGAAGCUUUUUGUGACGGUACCUAGAUAAGAAGCACCGGCUAACUACGUG
rnacentral:rRNA from 1 species